rnacentral:rRNA from 1 species
GACGAACGCUGGCGGCGUGCCUAACACAUGCAAGUCGAGCGGACGGUUACGAGGUUGUAGAGAUACAAAGGAGUGACUGUUAGCGGCGAACGGGUGAGUAACACGUGGACAAUCUGCCCUCCGGGUCGGGAUAACAGACCGAAAGGCCUGCUAAUACCGAAUGAGGCGGCGACCUCGCAUGGGGAUGCCGUCAAAGGGGAAACCCGCCGGGGGAGGAGUCCGCGUCCCAUUAGCUAGUUGGUGAUGUAACGGACCACCAAGGCGAUGAUGGGUAGCCGGCCUGAGAGGGUGAACGGCCACAUUGGGACUGAGACACGGCCCAGACUCCUACGGGGGGCAGCAGUGAGGGAUUUUCGGCAAUGGGCGAAAGCCUGACCGAGCGACGCCGCGUGAGCGAAGAAGGCCUUCGGGUCGUAAAGCUCUGUCUAGGGGGAAGAGGAAGGACGGUACCCCUGGAGGAAGCCACGGCUAACUACGUG